GAAAUGAAAAGGGGGGGAAGGCUUGCCGUCCCUCGUAAAAAAAGUAGGUAGUGGGGAGAACUCAUGCCCAAAGUUUCGUUGGAAUUCGCCAGUGUGUGCUUGACCAGCAGCGAGUCAAAGUGCGUCCAGUGCCACUAUUGACCCAGUUUACGGACAGUGCCAGACUUUCGUGCAAGGUACAAUGGAUGAUCAAGCGACAAAUAUCAGAUAUUAUUUACGAGAAAGACGAUUUUAUAUGAUUUUUUAAUAAAAUAAUGUAAAAAUUA